rnacentral:rRNA from 1 species
GAUGAACGCUGGCGGCGUGCCUAAUACAUGCAAGUCGAGCGAACAGACGAGGAGCUUGCUCCUUUGACGUUAGCGGCGGACGGGUGAGUAACACGUAGGUAACCUACCUAUAAGACUGGGAUAACUUCGGGACACCGGAGCUAAUACCGGAUAAUAUUUCGAACCGCAUGGUUCGAUAGUGAAAGAUGGCUUUGCUAUCACUUAUAGAUGGACUUGCGCCGUAUUAGCUAGUUGGUAAGGUAACGGCUUACCAAGGCAACGAUACGUAGCCGACCUGAGAGGGUGAUAGGCCACACUGGAACUGAGACGCGGACCAGACUCCUACGGGAGGCAGCAGUAGGGAAUCUUCCGCAAUGGGCGAAAGCAUGACGGAGCAACGCGGAGUGAGUGAUGAAGGUCUUCGGAUCGUAAAACUCGGUUAUUAGGGAAGAACAAACGUGUAAGUAAAUGUGCACGGCGUGACGGUACCUAAUCAGAAAGCCACGGCUAACUACGUG